UUAAGCGACUAAGCGUACACGGUGGAUGCCCUGGCAGUCAGAGGCGAUGAAGGACGUGCUAAUCUGCGAUAAGCGUCGGUGAGGUGAUAUGAACCGUUAUAACCGGCGAUUUCCGAAUGGGGAAACCCAGUGUGUUUCGACACACUAUCAUUAACUGAAUCCAUAGGUUAAUGAGGCGAACCGGGGGAACUGAAACAUCUAAGUACCCCGAGGAAAAGAAAUCAACCGAGAUUCCCCCAGUAGCGGCGAGCGAACGGGGAGGAGCCCAGAGCCUGAAUCAGUGUGUGUGUUAGUGGAAGCGUCUGGAAAGGCGCGCGAUACAGGGUGACAGCCCCGUACACAAAAAUGCACAUAUUGUGAGCUCGAUGAGUAGGGCGGGACACGUGGUAUCCUGUCUGAAUAUGGGGGGACCAUCCUCCAAGGCUAAAUACUCCUGACUGACCGAUAGUGAACCAGUACCGUGAGGGAAAGGCGAAAAGAACCCCGGCGAGGGGAGUGAAAAAGAACCUGAAACCGUGUACGUACAAGCAGUGGGAGCCUCUUAAUGGGGUGACUGCGUACCUUUUGUAUAAUGGGUCAGCGACUUAUAUUCUGUAGCAAGGUUAACCGAAUAGGGGAGCCGAAGGGAAACCGAGUCUUAACUGGGCGUUAAGUUGCAGGGUAUAGACCCGAAACCCGGUGAUCUAGCCAUGGGCAGGUUGAAGGUUGGGUAACACUAACUGGAGGACCGAACCGACUAAUGUUGAAAAAUUAGCGGAUGACUUGUGGCUGGGGGUGAAAGGCCAAUCAAACCGGGAGAUAGCUGGUUCUCCCCGAAAGCUAUUUAGGUAGCGCCUCGUGAAUUCAUCUCCGGGGGUAGAGCACUGUUUCGGCAAGGGGGUCAUCCCGACUUACCAACCCGAUGCAAACUGCGAAUACCGGAGAAUGUUAUCACGGGAGACACACGGCGGGUGCUAACGUCCGUCGUGAAGAGGGAAACAACCCAGACCGCCAGCUAAGGUCCCAAAGUCAUGGUUAAGUGGGAAACGAUGUGGGAAGGCCCAGACAGCCAGGAUGUUGGCUUAGAAGCAGCCAUCAUUUAAAGAAAGCGUAAUAGCUCACUGGUCGAGUCGGCCUGCGCGGAAGAUGUAACGGGGCUAAACCAUGCACCGAAGCUGCGGCAGCGACACUAUGUGUUGUUGGGUAGGGGAGCGUUCUGUAAGCCUGUGAAGGUAGCCUGUGAGGGUUGCUGGAGGUAUCAGAAGUGCGAAUGCUGACAUAAGUAACGAUAAAGCGGGUGAAAAGCCCGCUCGCCGGAAGACCAAGGGUUCCUGUCCAACGUUAAUCGGGGCAGGGUGAGUCGACCCCUAAGGCGAGGCCGAAAGGCGUAGUCGAUGGGAAACAGGUUAAUAUUCCUGUACUUGGUGUUACUGCGAAGGGGGGACGGAGAAGGCUAUGUUGGCCGGGCGACGGUUGUCCCGGUUUAAGCGUGUAGGCUGGUUUUCCAGGCAAAUCCGGAAAAUCAAGGCUGAGGCGUGAUGACGAGGCACUACGGUGCUGAAGUGACAAAUGCCCUGCUUCCAGGAAAAGCCUCUAAGCAUCAGGUAACAUCAAAUCGUACCCCAAACCGACACAGGUGGUCAGGUAGAGAAUACCAAGGCGCUUGAGAGAACUCGGGUGAAGGAACUAGGCAAAAUGGUGCCGUAACUUCGGGAGAAGGCACGCUGAUAUGUAGGUGAAGCGACUUGCUCGUGGAGCUGAAAUCAGUCGAAGAUACCAGCUGGCUGCAACUGUUUAUUAAAAACACAGCACUGUGCAAACACGAAAGUGGACGUAUACGGUGUGACGCCUGCCCGGUGCCGGAAGGUUAAUUGAUGGGGUUAGCGGUAACGCGAAGCUCUUGAUCGAAGCCCCGGUAAACGGCGGCCGUAACUAUAACGGUCCUAAGGUAGCGAAAUUCCUUGUCGGGUAAGUUCCGACCUGCACGAAUGGCGUAAUGAUGGCCAGGCUGUCUCCACCCGAGACUCAGUGAAAUUGAACUCGCUGUGAAGAUGCAGUGUACCCGCGGCAAGACGGAAAGACCCCGUGAACCUUUACUAUAGCUUGACACUGAACAUUGAGCCUUGAUGUGUAGGAUAGGUGGGAGGCUUUGAAGUGUGGACGCCAGUCUGCAUGGAGCCGACCUUGAAAUACCACCCUUUAAUGUUUGAUGUUCUAACGUUGGCCCCUAAUCGGGGUUGCGGACAGUGUCUGGUGGGUAGUUUGACUGGGGCGGUCUCCUCCUAAAGAGUAACGGAGGAGCACGAAGGUUGGCUAAUCCUGGUCGGACAUCAGGAGGUUAGUGCAAUGGCAUAAGCCAGCUUGACUGCGAGCGUGACGGCGCGAGCAGGUGCGAAAGCAGGUCAUAGUGAUCCGGUGGUUCUGAAUGGAAGGGCCAUCGCUCAACGGAUAAAAGGUACUCCGGGGAUAACAGGCUGAUACCGCCCAAGAGUUCAUAUCGACGGCGGUGUUUGGCACCUCGAUGUCGGCUCAUCACAUCCUGGGGCUGAAGUAGGUCCCAAGGGUAUGGCUGUUCGCCAUUUAAAGUGGUACGCGAGCUGGGUUUAGAACGUCGUGAGACAGUUCGGUCCCUAUCUGCCGUGGGCGCUGGAGAACUGAGGGGGGCUGCUCCUAGUACGAGAGGACCGGAGUGGACGCAUCACUGGUGUUCGGGUUGUCAUGCCAAUGGCACUGCCCGGUAGCUAAAUGCGGAAGAGAUAAGUGCUGAAAGCAUCUAAGCACGAAACUUGCCCCGAGAUGAGUUCUCCCUGACUCCUUGAGAGUCCUGAAGGAACGUUGAAGACGACGACGUUGAUAGGCCGGGUGUGUAAGCGCAGCGAUGCGUUGAGCUAACCGGUACUAAUGAACCGUGAGGCUUAACCUU
rnacentral:rRNA from 2 species